GGAGACGAAAUUUUAAAUUACGUUGAAGAGAGCAGGAGAGCUGCAGGUUUGCAACAGGAGGGAGAGUGGGUGCUUAAGGGUGGCCAACAUAAUCUUUAUAGAUGCACCAGUUGGUGCUGGGUUUUCAUACUCUACAACCUCGGAAGGGUACUAUACUUCCGAUACAAAAUCAGCUGCACAGACCUAUACUUUCUUAAGAAAGUGGUUAUAUGCACACCCAAGGUUUCAGGGAAAUCAACUGUACAUUGGUGGUGACUCAUAUUCAGGACUUAUUGUUCCCAUUCUUCUUAAGAAUAUACUAGAAGGUUUAGAGUCUGGGUCAAGGCCAAGAAUGCAACUCCAACUUGAAACAGGGAUACUUGCUUGGAAAUCCAGUUUCAGAUUCUUUUAUUGAUGUAAAUGAGAGAAUCCCAUAUGUUCACUGAGUGUCACUCAUUUCAGAUGAAAUCUAUGAGGCUGCUAAAACUAAUUGCAGUGGGGACUAUGUCAAUGUGGAACUUAACAAUACACUUUGUGUUACUGCUCUUCAAAAAAUUAAAGAUUGUCUUCUACAAAUAAAUCUUGCACAAAUUUUGGAACCCCAAUGUGCUUUUGCAUCUGGUAGAACAACUGAGUUGGAGUGGGAUCUUAGAGCUCGAGAAGCAAGUACUAUGGAUUACCUCCUUUCAGAGUCUAAGCUACCUGAAUUGCAUUGUC